GCGGCGGCUUAACACAUGCAAGUCGAGCGGUAACAGAGAUAGCUUGCUAUGUGCUGACGAGCGGCGGACGGGUGAGUAAUGCUUGGGAAUAUGCCUUUGAGUGGGGGACAACAGUUGGAAACGACUGCUAAUACCGCAUAACGUCUACGGACCAAAGGGGGGGAUGCUUCGGCACCUCUCGCUCAUUGAUUAGCCCAAGUGAGAUUAGCUAGUUGGUAAGGUAAUGGCUUACCAAGGCGACGAUCUCUAGCUGGUUUGAGAGGAUGAUCAGCCACACUGGGACUGAGACACGGCCCAGACUCCUACGGGAGGCAGCAGUGGGGAAUAUUGCACAAUGGGCGAAAGCCUGAUGCAGCCAUGCCGCGUGUGUGAAGAAGGCCUUCGGGUUGUAAAGCACUUUCAGCGAGGAGGAAAGGUUAGUAGUUAAUAGCUGCUAGCUGUGACGUUACUCGCAGAAGAAGCACCGGCUAACUUCGUGCCAGCAGCCGCGGUAAUACGAGGGGUGCAAGCGUUAAUCGGAAUUACUGGGCGUAAAGCGUGCGUAGGUGGUUUGUUAAGCAAGAUGUGAAAGCCCCGGGCUCAACCUGGGAACUGCAUUUUGAACUGGCAAACUAGAGUUUUGUAGAGGGUAGUGGAAUUUCCAGUGUAGCGGUGAAAUGCGUAGAGAUUGGAGGGACAUC
rnacentral:rRNA from 1 species